AGAACUGGCUUUUCAUCUAGUACAGUGGUUUUCAACCUGUGGGUCGUGACCCCUUUGGGGGUCGAACGACCCUUUCACAGGGGUCGCUUAAGACUAUUGGAAAACACAUAUUUUCGAUGGUCUUAGGA